rnacentral:lncRNA from 1 species
AACGUUCCAUCUGGCCGGGUGGGCAUAGAAGGGGGUGGAGGGAGCGCCUGGGUAUUGUCAGGUGAGGAAGGUCAGAGGGAGCCGUCCACCCACGUGGCCAGCGAAACGGAGCGUGGGAGGAGGCCCACGAACACCUGAGAUCAAAACCCACAGGGCACGUGAGAAGAUCCCAAUUCCAGGGCGCGAACGAAGUCCAGGAGCUUCAAAAUUGGCCCGCAUCAUGAAAACAUCCGGCAGACGAUUGAAGACUCACUCUUGAUGCAGACGCUGACCCGAGGAAGGAAAAGGGUGAGAAACAGCUAGGCAGACACAGCAGAGCGGGAAAGAGGCCGACGCCGACGGAAUGCAGGAGGCUUGGGGGUCGGGCCCAGGAGAUCUGAUCUGAGAGUAACAAGUUACAGGAGCGCGGAAAAUCACAGAUGGAGGAAGGGCAGUCAUUACAUAUCGGAACUCUCCCCUGAGUUGGGGGACGCCUGCAGAGUAGGCAUGGAAGGGCUCACGGAGUUCUAGGUUCAGCUGAUGAGAAAAGAUGCCCUCUGUGCUAUGUCAUGGUAACAGCCUCCGAACUCUGCAUACACACUGUAUUCUUCCCUUUGUGUGACACUCCAGAAACAACAAAUUGCAUCCAUAGUGAUGGAAAUCAGACCAGUCGUUGUCAGGGGCCACCGAGUUGACUGGGAUAGUGAUGGAAAUUUUAAUGAAUACAUAGAUGUAUAAACAUGUCAAAACAUGUACUUUUUAAAAUGGAUCCAUUUUAUUGUAUACAAAUUUUACUAAAUAAAAUGGAAUGGAAAAUUAUAAGUGCUGUACUUUCUGCAUUGAGGAAAAAGAAAAGUCAACCAUUUUUCAGUCAAAAGGAAUAUGUUACCUAAAAAAGCAAAACAAUCAGAAUGGUCUCAGGCUUCUCAUCUACAACACUGCAAGCUAAAAGCAGUGGAAGAGCAAAAGACUGCACCCCAGGAACCCCUGUUCUCAAUAAAGAGAUUGUCGAAGUGUUAGGAGCAGAAGGUAUUUGAAGAUACAUAAAACCUCAGUGAGUUUAUCACCUAAGUGCCUCAUCUAGGAAAGCACUGGAGAAACAGUUCUAAUGAAAUGGCAAACCCAGAAACGACAUAGCAGAGACCUCCGGAUGAAGGAGGAUGGAGAGGAAGGACGCAGUGGCAUGAGGAAGCUUCAUCUACUCGGAGGCAUCCCGAGGGGCUCAGCCGUUCGGAGCAGCGGAGGGGCACAAACGCUGCAGGGUGGCUGGGUGUGGUCUUCACAGGGGACGGCAGAAGCAUAAGAGAAACUGAGGCUGCGGUGUGAGUAGGAACCUGGCUGCAGUGAGUUAUGGGUUGAGAGAGACAGUGAGUGUGUGUUUGGUGCACAUAAGUAAUUGUCUUUUUUUUUUUUUUUUGUCUCACUCUGCCACCCAGGUUGGAGUGCAAUGGUGCAAUCUCGGUUCACUGCAACCUCCACCUCCCGGGUUCAAGCAAUUCUUCCUGUCUCAGCCUCCUGAGUAGCUGGGAUUACAGGUGCUCACCACCAUGCCCAGCUAAUUUUUUUUUUUUCAGUAGCGACAGGGUUUCAAAUCCUCUUAAGGGCACAUUGAUAAGUCUGGUUGAAAAUAGGAUUUGAUUCAUCCAAAGCAGGAAGAAGUGACUGCUAUGAAGGUGAAGGCACAGCCAUGAAAGAUUGAUCAUUCUGCAACUCAGGAGGGUCUGUCUAGGGCCCAGGAGCCCGUGUUUUCCUUAUUAACCAAAAAUAAUUAAGAAAGGCGAUGAUUCCGUCUGCACCCUGAGCUCUGCACGUUGAUUUGGUGAUGAACGGAGCACCAUUGCCAUGAGGACAAUUGCCAGUCCUUUCCCGACUGGAAGAUGGCAACAGCCCUGCCCCAUUUCCCCGCCGUAUUUAUACUGGACUUUAGAGAACUGUGAAAGCCCAUCUGGAAAACACUCAAGGCAGGUGAGUGCCCCUCACAAACCCUGUGGAGAACACCAUCCUUCCCUCCACCAUCAUCACCAGCAACAAACGUUUGCUCAACCCACGGUGUGCAAGGCAGAGGGCCCGGUGCUGCAGGGACAGAAAGAGGAAUGAGGGACAAAUGAACAUGAUGGAAGGGAAGGGAAGGAUGUCUGUGUUCUCCAGGGAUUUGCCAUCCACCUGGGUGCUGGUCUGAUGUCCCUGAGUCACUGAAGCAAUGCCAGCAGCAUUUUUAUGGGCAGAAAGAUCAAUGCCCGUAAAUAGCAGGGCAUCCUCCCUGUCAAAUAAAGGUGACCUAAGAUUCUACCAGUUCGGGCUGAGCUCUGAGUCACCUAUUUAUUCAAGUUAUAAUUACUGAGCUCCACUGCAGAGGCUGCUGGACACACCCCUAUUUCCUAGAAAUGGAACUCUUUCUAGCACCGUGCAUGGCUGACUGGAAUAAAACUAUACCUCCCA